ACUUCGGUCUGCUACCUCUUACCCAUGUCUUUUGAGUACCUUCGUUUCCUCGGCGGGUCCGCCCGCCGAUUGGACAACAUUCAAACCCUUUGCAGUUGCAAUCAGCGUCUGAAAAAACAUAAUAGUUACAACUUUCAACAACGGAUCUCUUGGUUCUGGCAUCGAUGAAGAACGCAGCGAAAUGCGAUAAGUAGUGUGAAUUGCAGAAUUCAGUGAAUCAUCGAAUCUUUGAACGCACAUUGCGCCCCUUGGUAUUCCAUGGGGCAUGCCUGUUCGAGCGUCAUUUGUACCUUCAAGCUCUGCUUGGUGUUGGGUGUUUGUCUCGCCUCUGCGUGUAGACUCGCCUUAAAACAAUUGGCAGCCGGCGUAUUGAUUUCGGAGCGCAGUACAUCUCGCGCUUUGCACUCAUAACGACGACGUCCAAAAGUACAUUUUUACACUCUUGACCUCGGAUCAGGUAGGGAUACCCGCUGAACUUAAGCAUAUCAAUAAGCGGAGGAA
rnacentral:rRNA from 1 species